rnacentral:rRNA from 1 species
GAUGAACGCUGGCGGCGUGCCUAAUACAUGCAAGUCGAGCGAACAGACGAGGAGCUUGCUCCUCUGACGUUAGCGGCGGACGGGUGAGUAACACGUGGAUAACCUACCUAUAAGACUGGGAUAACUUCGGGAAACCGGAGCUAAUACCGGAUAAUAUUUUGAACCGCAUGGUUCAAAAGUGAAAGACGGUCUUGCUGUCACUUAUAGAUGGAUCCGCGCUGCAUUAGCUAGUUGGUAAGGUAACGGCUUACCAAGGCAACGAUGCGUAGCCGACCUGAGAGGGUGAUCGGCCACACUGGAACUGAGACACGGUCCAGACUCCUACGGGAGGCAGCAGUAGGGAAUCUUCCGCAAUGGGCGAAAGCCUGACGGAGCAACGCCGCGUGAGUGAUGAAGGUCUUCGGAUCGUAAAACUCUGUUAUUAGGGAAGAACAAAUGUGUAAGUAACUAUGCACGUCUUGACGGUACCUAAUCAGAAAGCCACGGCUAACUACGUG